rnacentral:rRNA from 1 species
AACGAACGCUGGCGGCAUGCCUAACACAUGCAAGUCGAACGAGACCUUCGGGUCUAGUGGCGCACGGGUGCGUAACGCGUGGGAACCUGCCCUUAGGUUCGGAAUAACUCCCCGAAAGGGGUGCUAAUACCGGAUAAUGUCUUCGGACCAAAGAUUUAUCGCCUUUGGAUGGGCCCGCGUUGGAUUAGCUAGUUGGUAGGGUAAAAGCCUACCAAGGCGACGAUCCAUAGCUGGUCUGAGAGGAUGAUCAGCCACACUGGGACUGAGACACGGCCCAGACCCCUCCGGGGGGCAGCAGGGGGGAAUAUUGAACAAUGGGCGAAAGCCUGAUCCAGCAAGGCCGGGGGGGUGAUGAAGGCCUUGGGGUUGUAAAGCUCUUUUACCCGGGAUGAUAAUAACAUUACCGGGAAAAAAAGCCCCGGCUAACUCCGG